rnacentral:rRNA from 1 species
UACAGAGGUCUCGAGCGUUAGGCGGAAUCACUGGGCUUAAAGCGUGUGUAGGUGGAUCGUUAAGUACCUUGUGAAAUCCCACGGCUUAACCGUGGAACUGCUUGGUAUACUGGCGGUCUUGAGCCAGCUAGGGGCUACCGGAACAAAUGGUGGAGCGGUGAAAUGCGUAGAUAUCAGGAGGAACACCGGUGGCGAAGGCGGGUCUCUGGACAGUUCCUGACGCUGAGGCACGAAGGCCAGGGGAGCAAACGGG